rnacentral:sRNA from 1 species
UUACCUUUUGCAUGCUUGAUUGAAUUACCCAUUCAUCAACUUCCAUCAAGACUACAAUCCUACUUCUCGUUUUAGUUCUAUGUUUUUUAUUU